rnacentral:misc_RNA from 1 species
ACGACAAUGAAUCGUAUAUUGAAAUUGUCCUUGAACCCUCACGUGUAGGAUUUGAUGGUGGUGGUGGUAGUAGAGAAGAAGAGGAUGACUGCGAUGAUGAAAUGGAGCUGCGUAUAUCGUUGUCAUCCGGCGUUCUCCUUCCUGUUGAAACAAAAACCAGUGACUUAUACAAGUCUGUGAAUUCCUGUGCAUCGUCUUUGUCGUCGUCUUCUUCUUCGGCGUUUACUUUCAGCUCUUCCUCCACGGGGGCAGAAAGUCAGCGGAAUCAACAGGUUGAGUCCAAGCUUUGUAGUUCUAGAAUGCAGAAGACUAUUAGGAGCAAGGUAGAGUUUCCGGCGGUCAACCGCAUCGUCAAUACUUUCAUUUCCAGUUUCAGGGAAUNNAUCGUCGGAGAUUGGCCUAGGAGAUGGCCGCCCGCCGGAUGCCAACCGCUUGGACUUCUUAGCCAGCAGCAAUAGUACAAGGAAACCAUCAAAGAUAACAACAA